GGCGAUCAGAUACCGCCCUAGUUCUGACCGUAAACGAUGCCAACUAGCGAUCCGCCGGUGGCUACCAGGCCCUGGUGGGGAGCUUCCCGGAAACGAAAGUCUUCCGGUUCCGGGGGAAGUAUGGUUGCAAAGCUGAAACUUAAAGGAAUUGACGGAAGGGCACCACCAGGAGUGGAGCCUGCGGCUUAAUUUGACUCAACACGGGAAAACUCACCCGGCCCGGACACCGUAAGGAUUGACAGAUUGAUAGCUUUUUCAUGAUUCGGUGGUUGGUGGUGCAUGGCCGUUCUUAGUUCGUGGAUCGAUUUGUCUGGUUUAUUCCGAUAACGAGCGAGACUCCAGCCUACUAACUAGUACGAGCAUUGCCUCUGUGCUCGGCACUUCUUAGAGGGAUUGACUGCGUCUAGCGGUACGAAACGGAGCAAUAACAGGUCUGUGAUGCCCUUAGAUGUCCGGGGCUGCACGCGCGCUACACUGGCAAAGGCAACGUGCUUGUCCGUCUCCGAAAGGAGCCGGUAAACCCUUGAAAAUUUGCCGUGAUUGGGAUCGGAAAUUGCAAUUAUUUUCCGUGAACGAGGAAUUCCUAGUAAGUGCGAGUCAUCAGCUCGCGUUGAUUACGUCCCUGCCCUUUGUA
rnacentral:rRNA from 1 species